UGCCCCUUUGCGACCAUGCUCUACACAUGCAAGUCGAGCGGUACAGGGGUAGCUUGCUACCCGCUGACGAGCGGCGGACGGGUGAGUAAUGCAUAGGAAUCUACCCAGUAGUGGGGGAUAACCUGGGGAAACCCAGGCUAAUACCGCAUACGUCCUACGGGAGAAAGGGGGCUUCGGCUCCCGCUAUCGGAUGAGCCUAUGCCGGAUUAGCUGGUUGGUGAGGUAACGGCUCACCAAGGCGACGAUCCGUAGCUGGUCUGAGAGGAUGAUCAGCCACAUCGGGACUGAGACACGGCCCGAACUCCUACGGGAGGCAGCAGUGGGGAAUAUUGGACAAUGGGGGCAACCCUGAUCCAGCCAUGCCGCGUGUGUGAAGAAGGCCCUCGGGUUGUAAAGCACUUUCAGCGAGGAAGAACGCCUAUCGGUUAAUACCCGUUAGGAAAGACAUCACUCGCAGAAGAAGCACCGGCUAACUCCGUGCCAGCAGCCGCGGUAAUACGGAGGGUGCAAGCGUUAAUCGGAAUUACUGGGCGUAAAGCGCGCGUAGGUGGCUUGAUAAGCCGGUUGUGAAAGCCCCGGGCUCAACCUGGGAACGGCAUCCGGAACUAUCAGGCUAGAGUGCAGGAGAGGAAGGUAGAAUUCCCGGUGUAGCGGUGAAAAUGCGUAGAGAUCGGGAGGAAUACCAGUGGCGAAGGCGGCCUUCUGGACUGACACUGACACUGAGGUGCGAAAGCGUGGGUAGCAAACAGGAUUAGAUACCCUGGUAGUCCACGCCGUAAACGAUGUCGACCAGCCGUUGGGUGCCUAGCGCACUUUGUGGCGAAGUUAACGCGAUAAGUCGACCGCUCUGGGGGAGUACGGCCGCAAGGUAAAACUCAAAUGAAUUGACGGGGCCCGCACAAGCGGGUGGAGCAUGGUGGUUUAAUUCGAUGCAACGCGAAGAACCUUUACCUACCCUUGACAUCCUACAGA
rnacentral:rRNA from 1 species